rnacentral:rRNA from 1 species
AUUGAACGCUGGCGGCAGGCUUAACACAUGCAAGUCGAGCGGAGAUGAGGUGCUUGCACCUUAUCUUAGCGGCGGACGGGUGAGUAAUGCUUAGGAAUCUGCCUAUUAGUGGGGGACAACAUUCCGAAAGGAAUGCUAAUACCGCAUACGUCCUACGGGAGAAAGCAGGGGAUCUUCGGACCUUGCGCUAAUAGAUGAGCCUAAGUCGGAUUAGCUAGUUGGUGGGGUAAAGGCCUACCAAGGCGACGAUCUGUAGCGGGUCUGAGAGGAUGAUCCGCCAAGCUUGGACUGCGACACGGCCCAGACUCCUACGGGAGGCAGCAGUGGGGAAUAUUGGACAAUGGGCGGGAGCCUGAUCCAGCCAUGCCGCGUGUGUGAAGAAGGCCUUUUGGUUGUAAAGCACUUUAAGCGAGGAGGAGGCUACCUAGAUUAAUACUCUGGGAUAGUGGACGUUACUCGCAGAAUAAGCACCGGCUAACUCUGUGCCAGCCGCCGCCGUAAAAC